rnacentral:rRNA from 1 species
AAAUUGAAGAGUUUGAUCAUGGCUCAGAUUGAACGCUGGCGGCAGGCCUAACACAUGCAAGUCGAACGGUAACAGGAAUCAGCUUGCUGAUUUGCUGACGAGUGGCGGACGGGUGAGUAAUGUCUGGGAAACUGCCUGAUGGAGGGGGAUAACUACUGGAAACGGUAGCUAAUACCGCAUAAUGUCGCAAGACCAAAGAGGGGGACCUUCGGGCCUCUUGCCAUCGGAUGUGCCCAGAUGGGAUUAGCUAGUAGGUGGGGUAACGGCUCACCUAGGCGACGAUCCCUAGCUGGUCUGAGAGGAUGACCAGCCACACUGGAACUGAGACACGGUCCAGACUCCUACGGGAGGCAGCAGUGGGGAAUAUUGCACAAUGGGCGCAAGCCUGAUGCAGCCAUGCCGCGUGUAUGAAGAAGGCCUUCGGGUUGUAAAGUACUUUCAGCGGGGAGGAAGGGAGUAAAGUUAAUACCUUU